UCCCCAUUCUUGUCUUACAGACCCUGAGAGGGCGAUUUGAGUUCAGAAUCCCUAGAGUUUUUGCCCGUGGGACUCACUUUUAACAAAAAUUGUCCUCUUCAUCCACAAGCACUUUUCUCCUCAGGUUUGCAUUUUGAUUCAAAAGCUCUAGACAGACAAGGGAUUGAAAAGACUAAAUAUGUGAGCGUUUUAAUUUUCCUCUUGGGGGGGGGACAACAAAGUUAUGAUUUUCUUCCAAGCAAACAAACUGUUUUCCAUGUGUUUCCAAGAGAAAACUGCUUUUUUGUUACGUUCUGCAUGUUCCAUGGAUGAUUCCAGUGGGGAGAUCCUAGGAAGCAGCACCUUUUCUUGUGUGGCCGGGGAAAAUGUGUUUUUGGAAUCAUGGAAGAGUCUCUGGGCUCUAGUAAUGGGGCUUGGGAGCCCACCCCAGCUCCGUGCCUGAAAGGGCGCCAGAGAACAUGGGAGGAGCUGGGUUUGCCUUACACAAGCUCUGAGGGUGGCAGGGCUGGGGGUGGGGGAGGCAGUGAGGCCUGGCCUCCUGGUCUGAGAAGGUCUGGCUCUUACUCCCACCCCUGCUCUCAGAAUAGAGCCCCUGCCCCUCACCAGGGGAUGGGAGUGGGGUCUGUGCACUCUGCAGGAGGUGGUCCAGAAACAACUUCUAGAUCCUGGCUCCUGGGGCCCGUAGCCCCUGCUCUCAAGCCUUGGAGCGGAAGCUGCCUUGGAGAAGCCUGCCCCCUUCUCUGCUCCAGCACGUGGAAGUGUUCCCGGCUCAGGAAUGACCUGGACCCUCCUUCCGGCUGUGAGGUUGCUCCUGGGGGUGUGAACCCUGCGCUGGGCCCCUGUCCACACCCCAGCACGGCUUUGCUCCCAGGGAGGCCCCCUUUCUGCAAGGCUGGGGUGGGCACCCACCUCCUGUGUACUUAGCUCGUUAGGAUUCUUCACCCACUUAUUGUGAAUAGGUUCUGGGAGAGGAAAGGGCCUGGAAGGCACCGCGGGGAGUGAGGCCUCUUCCUGUCUCAGUGGGACUUCCUCUUUCUGCCUCUCUCCCCUCCUCCUUCCCCUGGGGAAGUCGUGAACCCUAACUAUUUUCUGUUUUGUUUCUGGACCUAUUUUCAACUAUGCUGAGAAUUUGAAUUUCCAGGAGGGAUAAUCCAGGAGGGUAAUCAAAGAGACCCAGAGAAGGCUCAUUUGGGAAGCGACCUCCUUCUGUAACCUAUGGAGGAUCUAUCCUGGUGGCAUCGUGAUUUUAGAAUAUGCCUACUUCCUCCUCUCCUGGAGUGGGGGUUGGCCUUAAUGGCUGGCUUCCAGAGAACAGGCUGUUGCAGAAAUGAUGAUGUUUUAAUUUUGAGGUUGGGUCGUAAAAAUCAAAUAUACUGUUGCUUCUGUGGCUCUUGCAUCUUGCUCUGGGGGAAGCCAGCCACCCUGCUGUAUGAUGAUUCUAGCGACCCACAGGGUCAGGAGCAGAGGCUUCCUGCCGGCAGACAGAUGAGCAACUGUCCUGGGAACGGCUCCAUUGGCCCAUCAAGUCCCCAGAUGACCGCAGCCCCAGCAAAACCUUGGCCACUGUCUCCUGAAACAGCCCGACACAGCCACGGGCCCAGCUCCUCCCAGACUCCUGGCCCUCAAGAAUAUGCAGGAAAAGAAGGAGAAAGCAGGGACCCCCUGUAAGAAAAGAGGAAAGGCUCCCUCGUUCCAGAGAGGAGGGGAGAGCCCGUCUGCAACCAGAACAGUCAUGUUCUGAACUGGAGGUGAUCUACUAGUGAGCUGGAGGAUUAGGGUCCUUAUAAGAGGAUCCCCUACCCAUACUCCUGGGCUCUCUUGUGAAGACACAAGGAGAAGCGGGCAGUCAGCAGCCUGGAAGAGAGUCCCCACCAGAACCAACCAUGCUGGCACCCCAGUCGUGGACUCGCAGCCUUCUAGCAGGGCUCAGCCCCGUUCUCUGUUCCCACCAGCCUCUCCCUGCUCUCAGCUUCAGAUGUGUGUUUGGUAAAUCCAGAAAAAUCUCCCAGGUGCUGGCCAGCUGCCUAAAUGAGGAACAAGGUGACAGCCCCGAAUUCACACGACCCCAGGUUCAUGCAAAUAAAUAAAUCUAUUGAAGAUAAUGAAGCCAGCUUUUUCAAUAUCAAAGAAAGAAGAUAAAAGAUGAUGGUAACGGAAGAAUCAAAGGAGCCAUGCAGUAAAUUGGAUUAGAGAAUAAAGACCCCAGGAGAAAGCCUCCUGCAGCCAUCUUUGUACAACGGGAUCCUGUCCCCCUGGCCGAAGCUGAUUGGAGUUUUGUAUAAAUGCUUUGGCCCUCAGCAGUUGGAAGCCAUCCUUCCUACGGCCUGUGCAGGAGAACUGGGAGAAGUGAGCACCUCCCUCAGCCACCUGCUACCGUCCCCACCACCACUGGAGAGCAGAUCAGCAGAAUUUGGUCAUUUCUUCCCAGAUCAGUUGUCACUGUCUGCGCCCGGCUCCUCAGCAUCCAUGACGUUUCUUUGUUGUAGGAAGCUCUGCUGUGCACUGUGGACCCACAGCAUCUCAGCCCCCACUGUUUGGAGGCCAGCAGCACUCGCUCACCUCCUUAACCAUGACCACCCAAAAUGUCUCCCGAUACUGCCAGAUGUCUUCCAAGGGACAGAGUUGCCCCCAGUUGAGAAUUACUGGUCUAGACACGGGUUCAGUUAUUUCUCUUUUAUUUUCCCUCCCCCUGUCAUCAAGAUUAUAUGUUUUCUUGACCUUGGCAAAUAAUUUCAUAACAUAUUUCCUGCUCUAUUUCAUGGAAGAACAAAAAUAAUUCUCUGAUGAAAGUCAUAUUUUGACUUGAAUUGCAUGAGGCAGGCCUUGUUAUAAUACAACCACAGGUUCCGCGUUGUUUUUGGAAGGCAGUAAAUUUGUUUUCUGCUUCGAUCCUGAUUUUGAUUUUUAAGUACUGAAUUUUCAUACUCUACUCAGUUCCCCUGGAGGUCAUUGUCAUUAUGGACAUCAAAUCGAUGUCUCAGGCACAGUCUCUCAUGUCGUACCGUCUCUCUCAAUUUCAUUUUUGCAUCUGUCUCGAAAUUAUUUUUGCUGCUGCGGCUAAUGUUUGAUGUUUUUUCACUCACUGUUCUUUAAAGCCCAUUUAUCCCCUUUUUCCAGUGAGUUCAGUUUAAAUCUUAUGUCUUGUACAAUAUUUUGUGUAUUUACAAAAAUCUGUUAAAUGUUUUAAAUUCAGGUAGUAAGUUAUAGAUGCCUGUUUGCAAGCCAAUGGUAAUAUUCCUGCCAUAGAACGGGGUAAUAGUUGAAAUUGUUUUGGAGAAGCAGAUUUUGUGAUUAGGAAAAGUUACCCAUAUAUGUUGAUUGUCCAAUGUCAAACAAUUUAAUUCUGCUACAGUUUGGAUUUGGAAUGUUCCCCAAAGGCCCGUAGAUUGAAGGCUUGGUUGUCAGUGUGGUACUCUUGGAAGGUGGUGGGAAUUUUAAGAAGUGGGGUCACUGGGAUUGUGCUCUUGAAGGGAAUUGCGGGGCCCCAGUUCCCGUUUCUCCCUCUCUUCUACUUCCCAGUCACCAAGAGGGGAGUGAUGUUCUGCCCUCUGUAUUCUCUCCAUGAUUUCUGCCUCCCCACAGGCCCCAAACAAUGGGACCAACUGACCAAGGGUUGAGACCUCCAAAACUAGGACCCAAAAUAAACUCUCUAUCUUUAUAAACUGAUUAAAUCAGGUAUUUGUUACAGUAACUCAGAACUGAUGGACACAAAUUAAUAAUUCAUAUGACAUCUAUUUUGGACCAAAUAAGCGUAUGCACCCUGAGAUUUUUCCAGAUUCAUCAGAGGUUUUGCAUGUAUUAUUUUUACUCAGAUUGUUAAAAAAUGGAACACAAAACUGUAGAUGAUUUCUGACUACAUAAAAAUAUUUCCAGGUUGAGGCUAGAACCUAGUAGUAGUGCAUAUGUGAGACCCUGGAUUCAAUUCUCAAUGCUGGAAAAAAAAAUACCAUUUACAUAGAUAAAGGCUAGUAUAUAAAAGUUAGCAUUGAACAGUUGUAUUGAUUAUAGCAAAUGCUUUCUUCUCUUCAAAGUUUUCUAUGGAUUAGAGUUUACAUAAAUUUUAGAUAGCACAUAUUUUUUUAUUACCUGAAGAAGCUUUCUUGUUCACUUAAAAUACAAAACUGAUGACAAAUCACUUGUGAUAACACCACCCAGUGAUGGUCACUGUCAACAGUCUUUUUUUUCCUUUUACAAAACAGAUCAUCCUAAAUAAAUUAUUCUUUAUCCUGCUUUUUAAAUCAUAGUGAGUAUGAAUAUAAAUAUACAGUUAUCUAUGGGUAUCUGAGAGGGAUUGUCACAAGUAAAAUAUCAUAGUAUUUACCUGUAACCUACACACACCCUCCCUACACUUUAAAUUGUCUCUAGAUGACUUACAAUACCCAAUACCUUUCUCGAAUAUUAUUUCAUUGUGUUGUUCAAGGAAUAAUGAUAAGAAAAAGCAGUCUAUAUAUAUUCAACACAGAUGUAACCAUCAUAGGUCAACUACCUCUCUGAUCUGAAUUGGUUGAAUUCAUGAAUAUGGAACCCAUAGAUAGGGAGGGACAACUAUUAACUUGUGUAUUUCUGUCUGAUAUUAUAGGACUUUUGGAGAUUUCCAGUUUCUUCCAUUAUAUAUAUUAUGUUGCAAAGAAGAUCUCCAUACAAAAUCUUUCCACACGAGGUUAAGCAACUCUUGCAGCUAAAACGUGAGAAGACAAAUCCUAGGUCAAAGGGUAAUUUCCAAGGCUCUAUGCAUAUUGCUAAAUUAUCUCUGGAAAGUUGUUCCCAUUUUCCGUCUUUCCUUAUUGGCAAUUGUCUUGAAGGGCCUCCAUCUUGUUCUGUCAGCCUUCAGGCCUGUGAAGACAUUUCCUAUGAGAAUUCUUCAGAUAUGUCAAUGUAAUAAGAUCCAUUGCAAGAUAUCUGUCAACAGCAUCACUGGGCCCAUCUCACACCAUCUGUCAGUGGCAACUCUAAUAUAUUUUGGGAAGAUGCUCAUACAGUUGCCAAAAAAAAAAAAAAAGUUUGCAAUUGAAUCAGUUUUUCCAAUCAGUUAAGAUGCAGAACUGAACUGCAUUAAGGA